GCAGAUACCAGGUGGCUGCAACUGUUUAUUAAAAACACAGCACUGUGCAAAAUCGUAAGAUGACGUAUACGGUGUGACGCCUGCCCGGUGCCGGAAGGUUAAUUGAUGGGGUUAGACUUCGGUCGAAGCUCUUGAUCGAAGCCCCGGUAAACGGCGGCCGUAACUAUAACGGUCCUAAGGUAGCGAAAUUCCUUGUCGGGUAAGUUCCGACCUGCACGAAUGGCGUAAUGAUGGCCACGCUGUCUCCACCCGAGACUCAGUGAAAUUGAAAUCGCUGUGAAGAUGCAGUGUACCCGCGGCUAGACGGAAAGACCCCGUGAACCUUUACUACAGCUUGGCACUGAACAUUGACCCUACAUGUGUAGGAUAGGUGGGAGGCUUUGAAGCACGUACGCCAGUAUGUGUGGAGCCGUCCUUGAAAUACCACCCUUGUAGUGUUGAUGUUCUAACGUCGACCCCUUAUCGGGGUUGCGGACAGUGCCUGGUGGGUAGUUUGACUGGGGCGGUCUCCUCCCAAAGAGUAACGGAGGAGCACGAAGGUGGGCUAAUCACGGUUGGACAUCGUGAGGUUAGUGCAAUGGCAUAAGCCCGCUUGACUGCGAGAAUGACAAUUCGAGCAGGUGCGAAAGCAGGUCAUAGUGAUCCGGUGGUUCUGAAUGGAAGGGCCAUCGCUCAACGGAUAAAAGGUACUCCGGGGAUAACAGGCUGAUACCGCCCAAGAGUUCAUAUCGACGGCGGUGUUUGGCACCUCGAUGUCGGCUCAUCACAUCCUGGGGCUGAAGUCGGUCCCAAGGGUAUGGCUGUUCGCCAUUUAAAGUGGUACGCGAGCUGGGUUUAGAACGUCGUGAGACAGUUCGGUCCCUAUCUGCCGUGGGCGUUGGAAGAUUGAAGGGGGCUGCUCCUAGUACGAGAGGACCGGAGUGGACGAACCUCUGGUGUUCGGGUUGUGUCGCCAGACGCAUUGCCCGGUAGCUAAGUUCGGAAUCGAUAACCGCUGAAAGCAUCUAAGCGGGAAGCGAGCCCUGAGAUGAGUCUUCCCUGAUACUUUAAGUAUCCUAAAGGGUUGUCGGAGACUACGACGUUGAUAGGUCAGGUGUGUAAGUGCUGUGAGGCAUUGAGCUAACUGAUACUAAUUGCCCGUGAGGCUUAACCAU
rnacentral:rRNA from 1 species